UUGACGGGACCCGCACAAGCGGUGGAUGAUGUGGAUUAAUUCGAUGCAACGCGAAAAACCUUACCUACCCUUGACAUGUCCGGAAUCCUGCAGAGAUGCGGGAGUGCCCGAAAGGGAAUCGGAACACAGGUGCUGCAUGGCUGUCGUCAGCUCGUGUCGUGAGAUGUUGGGUUAAGUCCCGCAACGAGCGCAACCCUUAUCAUUAGUUGCUACGCAAGGGCACUCUAAUGAGACUGCCGGUGACAAACCGGAGGAAGGUGGGGAUGACGUCAAGUCCUCAUGGCCCUUAUGGGUAGGGCUUCACACGUCAUACAAUGGUCGGUACAGAGGGUUGCCAAGCCGCGAGGUGGAGCCAAUCCCAGAAAGCCGAUCGUAGUCCGGAUUGUUCUCUGCAACUCGAGAGCAUGAAGUCGGAAUCGCUAGUAAUCGCGGAUCAGCAUGUCGCGGUGAAUACGUUCCCGGGUCUU
rnacentral:rRNA from 1 species